UACGUAGGUGGCAAGCGUUGUCCGGAUUUACUGGGCGUAAAGCGUGCGCAGGCGGUUUUGUAAGUCUGUUGUGAAAUCCCCGGGCUCAACCUGGGAAUGGCAAUGGAGACUGCAAGGCUAGAGUUUGGCAGAGGGGGGUAGAAUUCCACGUGUAGCAGUGAAAUGCGUAGAUAUGUGGAGGAACACCGAUGGCGAAGGCAGCCCCCCUGGGUCAAAACUGACGCUCAUGCACGAAAGCGUGGGGAGCAAACAGG
rnacentral:rRNA from 1 species